GAUGAACGCUGGCGGCGUGCCUAAUACAUGCAAGUAGAACGCUGAAGCUUGGUGCUUGCACCGAGCGGAUGAGUUGCGAACGGGUGAGUAACGCGUAGGUAACCUACCUCUUAGCGGGGGAUAACUAUUGGAAACGAUAGCUAAUACCGCAUAAAAGUCGACAUUGCAUGAUGUUGACUUGAAAGGUGCAACUGCAUCACUAAGAGAUGGACCUGCGUUGUAUUAGCUAGUUGGUGAGGUAACGGCUCACCAAGGCGACGAUACAUAGCCGACCUGAGAGGGUGAUCGGCCACACUGGGACUGAGACACGGCCCAGACUCCUACGGGAGGCAGCAGUAGGGAAUCUUCGGCAAUGGACGGAAGUCUGACCGAGCAACGCCGCGUGAGUGAAGAAGGUUUUCGGAUCGUAAAGCUCUGUUGUAAGAGAAGAACGAGUGUGAGAGUGGAAAGUUCACACUGUGACGGUAACUUACCAGAAAGGGACGGCUAACUACGUGCCAGCAGCCGCGGUAAUACGUAGGUCCCGAGCGUUAUCCGGAUUUAUUGGGCGUAAAGCGAGCGCAGGCGGUUAGAUAAGUCUGAAGUUAAAGGCUGUGGCUUAACCAUAGUACGCUUUGGAAACUGUUUAACUUGAGUGCAGAAGGGGAGAGUGGAAUUCCAUGUGUAGCGGUGAAAUGCGUAGAUAUAUGGAGGAACACCGGUGGCGAAAGCGGCUCUCUGGUCUGUAACUGACGCUGAGGCUCGAAAGCGUGGGGAGCAAACAGG
rnacentral:rRNA from 1 species